AUUGAACGCUGGCGGCAGGCCUAACACAUGCAAGUCGAACGCACCGCAAGGUGAGUGGCGCACGGGUGAGUAACACGUGGGAACGUACCCUUUGGUUCGGAAUAACGUCUGGAAACGGACGCUAAUACCGGAUGAGCCCUGUGGGGGAAAGAUUUAUCGCCAAAGGAGCGGCCCGCGUCUGAUUAGCUAGUUGGUGGGGUAAAGGCCUACCAAGGCGACGAUCAGUAGCUGGUCUGAGAGGAUGAUCAGCCACACUGGGACUGAGACACGGCCCAGACUCCUACGGGAGGCAGCAGUGGGGAAUAUUGGACAAUGGGCGCAAGCCUGAUCCAGCCAUGCCGCGUGAGUGAUGAAGGCCUUCGGGUUGUAAAGCUCUUUCGCACGCGACGAUGAUGACGGUAGCGUGAGAAGAAGCCCCGGCUAACUUCGUGCCAGCCGCCGCUGUAA
rnacentral:rRNA from 1 species